rnacentral:lncRNA from 1 species
GCCCUUCCUCUUUCGGGUCUGCGAAGAGCAUUUCAUUCUCUCUUGGAUUGAAGUCAUCCUCUUCAUUUAGAACAACAGCAAAGGCUGCUUACAAGGUUAAGUUGAUUGGACCAGACGGAAAAGAGAAUGAGUUUGAUGCCCCCGAUGAUGUUUACAUCUUAGACGCAGCAGAGAAUGCUGGAGUUGAACUCCCUUAUUCGUGCCGUGCUGGAGCAUGCUCUACUUGUGCAGGAAAGAUUGUUUCUGGUGCGGUGGAUCAGUCUGAUGGCUCAUUCUUGGAUGACAAUCAACUCAAGGAAGGUUUUGUCCUUACCUGUGUUUCGUAUCCGACCGCAGACUGUGUAAUCGAAACUCACAAGGAAGGUGAACUUUACUGAGAAAUGCUGGACUUAAAAUUUAAAACCAUUGCACAAGGAAACUGGGAAUUUAAGGUAGAUUUUGCAGCUGAUUUGCUUGUUCUGCUUUAGAAAAUCAGCCUUUUCUUUUGGCAUUAUUUGUGAUUUGAGAUUAUGGAUUUUUGCCUAUGCAAGCAAAUACUGUGGUUUUUAGAUGAUAAUUUUGACAUUUAAAUGUGAACAAUGAUGUCAUUUUAGUUUUUUUUUUUUACAUUAAUGAUGCCAUUCUAGGAAGAACAUAAUAAAACAUCUCGUUGAAAAAUCGAAAAAUCACAGUUUCAUAUUUGGUUGAGAAAUUUCACUUUUCCCUUAAAAAUAAAUAAAUAGAACAAUAUUUUAUCUUUUACUAAAUAUUUGUUUUGGUCUUUAUUUUUAUUUGUUUUGGUUUUUUUUUUUUUUUUUUAUCUUUUAUAAGUGAUGUAUUUUAAUUAUUUUUAUCGUAACUCGUCCAAGCAACUGUAUAAUUAUUGUAAUUAACUAUUAAGAUUAAGUCUUGGAUUAGUUUAUAGUUAAGUUUACGAUCUUAAUAAGAGGAUGAAGUAAAAAUACAGUAAACUCCGAUAAAUGUCAUUUGUUUCAAAGAAUUUAUAUAUAUUUUAAAGCAUUAAAAAGAAAUGUUUUUAAGUUCAAGCUUAUUAUUAGAUUAUAAUAGAUUUUUUUUGAAAGAAUACUAUAUUAGAUAUAUAUUGACAAUUGUUAAUCGAUACUUUUAUUGUUGUUGUGAUAAAAAUUAAAGAUAAAGUAAGUGAAUCAAAAUAAAGAUAAAGAAAUAAAAUAGAUAUUAGAUAAAAGACUAAAAUUAUAUUUAAAUUUAUUUUUAAUGUGAUUUGCUAAAGGAAAAAAUAUCUUGCAUAAGCUUGUUAUUUGGUAUAAUAAUUAGCUAGUACAUUUAUAAACACAAGUACAGGUGGCCAUGAUACACGUGGACGGUAUUAAAGAUGAAAACGAGUAGGGUUCUGGGAGAGUAGAAUAAUAUUUAUCUUCUUAUUUGCAUUUUGAAUUAAUUUUUAACUUUCUUAAGUUAUUAUCACUGAUUUUGUUUAUUUUAGUAAAAAAAUUAUAUUAAUCACUUGAGUUUAAAUGAUUAAUCAUCUUAAUUUAGAUUGGAUAAUCGAGAUAUCGAAUACUUGUUGGAAUAAUCUUAGAUCACUUAAGUCUCCGACAAUUAGAAGGUUAUAAUAAAAAAAAAAAGACAUAAUUAUUCGUCUCUUAACUUAAUUUUCAGAUAAUAUUUCAUUGUUUUAUCUUUUUAUUUUUUUAAUUUAGUCAUUUAUUUAAUUUUAAAUAAACAAUUUGAUCUUUUAUGUUUUAAAAUGUUAACAAUGUUAUUUUUUUUUUUUUACAAAAUUUCAUCAAAAUUUACAAACAAAGCUCAUAUAAUCAAUUAUCAUUUUCAAUACAAACUAUAUUUUUUAUCAAAUAAACUCAUUCUUUAUAUUGUUGAAUUUUUGUAAUAAAAUUAAAUAAAAGAUCAAAUAAAAAAAAAUAAAAAAAGAUAAAUGACUUGAGUAUUAUCUGAAAUUAAGUUAAGAGACUGCAUGAGCAGUUGUGCUUAAAAAAAUAUAUUAUAUCUUAAAACUGUUUAAUUUUUUCUAUCAGUUAGCUUCGAUGAAUAUUAAUUUUUUAUUUUAAAUAUAUUUUUACUUGUUUAUGUUAUAGAAAUAAAUAAGUCCAUCAAAAUUCAAAUUUAAUACUUUCUUCUAAAGAUUUGAUGCUGAAUUAAGUUAAGAAAACCAAUUUCAAUUAAUUGUUCGAGGUAAUUAUAGACGAAUUCUAUGAUAAAUAAUAGCAUUGGGUGAUUUAUUAUAAGUUAUGUUUUUUAGAGCAUUCUAACAUGGUUUAUAGUGAGUGAUUAAAACAUCUAUAACGACAAUACAUGAACACUUUACUUUAGACUUUAGAUAUUAAUUGAGAUUAAUUAAUGUUUGAACAUAGAGUGAAUUUAAAUUUUUUUGAAGUCUCACAUCGGAAAACUCUCAUAUUUUGAGUAGGAUCAGUCUGAUGGCUCAUUCUUGGAUGACAAUCAACUCAAGGAAGGUUUUGUCCUUACCUGUGUUUCGUAUCCGACCGCAGACUGUGUAAUCGAAACUCACAAGGAAGGUGAACUUUACUGAGAAAUGCUGGACUUAAAAUUUAAAACCAUUGCACAAGGAAACUGGGAAUUUAAGGUAGAUUUUGCAGCUGAUUUGCUUGUUCUGCUUUAGAAAAUCAGCCUUUUCUUUUGGCAUUAUUUGUGAUUUGAGAUUAUGGAUUUUUGCCUAUGCAAGCAAAUACUGUGGUUUUUAGAUGAUAAUUUUGACAUUUAAAUGUGAACAAUGAUGUC